rnacentral:lncRNA from 1 species
AUGUGCUCAUCUGUGCGUGGGGGGAGGGAGGAGGGCAGUGGGGGUUCCUGGGGGGCAGAGCCUGUGUCUUCCGUCAGCACGUGUGCAUGCGUGUGUGUGUGCGCGCGCGCGCGGGCACGCGCGCGCAGGAGCUGGCGUUUGCAAGCUGGCUGUGACUCAGCAUCAGAGCCCUGGGUUUCCUCCCUUUUCCUGCCCUGCUUGGACUCAAACCCCUGCUCCGAGGACCCGUCUUUAAUGCUGCUUCCAGAGUGCUUUGUCCUGAUCUUGCUGCUCCUCGGGGCCCGGAUCCAGUGGCGUGCCAGCGACUCGGGCCACGGCCGUGGCGGAAACCAAGCCAGAAAACUGUCUUCUGGACUUUCCUCUAAAGUGAGGUUGGACAGUCUCAAGUUCUGAAAACAAAGCUCCUCAAACACAUGAGCUGGAGAGCAAAUGAGGGAUGAAAACGUUUUUUAAAACAUCCCAGGGCUCAGGGCUGUGGCGUUUUGUGGCAUUACACUUGCCGAACUGGUGCCAGGUGGGACCCGAAAGCACACGAUGGGGCUGAGUCCCAGGAUGAGCAUCUACCUGGUUCACAGGGACAUGGAUGAGAGCAGGAGUGCCAGCCUGUGCCCUGGGAUCCCUCACCAAAUGCUGGCAACUAACUGGAAAUCCUUUGUCCCAGGGGCCUAGCCCUGGUAACGACACCAAAACCCUCCUGUGGUUCUGUGUGCACCCAGCCUCCUGGUCACAGGUAGGGGUUGCCAGACCAGAGAGACCCUUCUGCAUGACAUGGUACUCUAUACAGGAAACCCUAAAGUCUCCACCAAAUACUAUCAGAACUAGCAAAUGAAUUCAGCAACACUGCAGAACCCAAACUUAAAGUACAGAAAUCUAUUGCUUUUCUUUUCUAUAUAUUCAUAAUGAACUAUAAGAAAGGAAAAGCAAGAAAACAAUUCCAUUUACAAUUGCAUCAAAGCAGCAACAACACAGCACAACACCCUCGAAUCAACUUAAUCAAGGAGGCGAAAGACCUAUACUCCGAAAACUAUAAAACACUGAUGGAAGAAAUUGAAGAUGGAACAGAGAAAUGGAAAGAUAGUCUAUGUUCAUGGAUCGAAAGCAUUUAGUAUUGUUAGAAUGCUACCCAUGCCACCCAAAGAAAUCUGCAGGCUUAAUGCCAGCCCUAUCAAAAUACUCAUGACCUUUUUCACCAGACUAGAACAAAUAACCCUAAAAUUUAUAUGGAAUCACAGAAGAUCCCAAGUUGCCCCAACAAUUUUGAGAAAGAAAAACAGAGCUGGAAAAAUCAGGCUCCAUGACUUCUGAUUAUACUCCAAAGUUACAGUAAUCAAAACAGCUGUCACUGGCACAAAAAACAGAAAUAUAGAUCAAUGGAACAGAAUUGAGAUCUCAGAUAUAAACCCACUUAUACGGUUAAUUAGUCUAUGACAAAGGAGGCAAAAAUAUUCAGUGGAGAAAUGGCAGUCUCUUCAAUAAGUGGUGCUGGGAAAACUGGACAGCUAUGUGUACAAGAAUGAAAUGAAAACAUUUCUUCACAUCAUGUAAGAAAAAACCCUCAAAAUAUGUAAGACUUAAAACUGUAAUAGAACAACACUCUUUGACAUAAGUCACAGCAAUGUUUUUUUGACCUGUCAUCACAAAAAUAAACAAAUGGGACCUAAUUAAACUUAAAAGCUU